UGGAAACAGUAACUUUAAACUGCAUUUCACCACCAGGCCAAGGCCCAAACACACAUGGGGGGGAACAGAACAAGCAUGUGCUUGCAACACUUUAUCCCAUAGUGAAAGUACAGUCAAAACAUGAG